GAUGAACGCUGGCGGCGUGCCUAAUACAUGCAAGUCGAGCGAACGGACGAGAAGCUUGCUUCUCCGAUGUUAUCGGCGGACGGGUGAGUAACACGUGGAUAACCUAACUAUAAGACUGGGAUAACUUCGGGAAACCGGAGCUAAUACCGGAUGAUAUUUUGAACCGCAUUGUUCAAAAGUGAAAGAAGGUAUUUCUGUGACUUAUAGCUUGCUCCGCGCUGCAUGAGCUAGUUGGUAAGGUAAAGGCUUACCAACGCAAGGAUGCAUAGCCGACCCGAGAGCGUGAUCGGCUACACGGGAACAGAGGAACAGUCGCGACUCCGACAGGGAGACACGGUACAGAAUCCUCCGCGAGGCAGGAGUGCCUGACAGUGCAACGCCGCGUGAGGGAUGAUGGUCUUCUGAUGGUUAAACUAUGUUAUUAGGGAAGUAGAUAUGUGUAAGUAACUGUGCAGAUCUUGACGGUACCUAAUCAGAAAGCCACGGCUAACUACGUG
rnacentral:rRNA from 1 species